ACCUCUGGAAGAGUUUACAAUUCGUAGUUUACUUAAGAGUCAUGACAGACCCUCAAUUGUUCAUUUAAAUUGUGCAGUCAUCAAAGGUAAAUCGGGUUACGCCCUUUUAAGCGAUAUAAAAUAUCUUCUACGAGAAGCAACAAAAUAAUACUUAGGAUGGCAUUGAUCACGAAAAUCAGUUUCAUUUCCGUAAUAUUCUAUUGAAAUUUGAGAAUAAGUUACACACUAACGAUUACCGAUAAAUUUACGUUAUAUCGAUAAGGAACAAAAGACUAGUGAGAAUGAAGAAAUUGUACCGUUUGGAUUGCUUGAUGGCCUUCGCAUGCGAGACUCUUCCCCACAUCGUCAGGUCCGAAGACCCAGCUAAUUUUCUAGGCGUGGCUCGCUGAAAGGGGUUAUUACAUUCUAAGCUGAUAAAUCAAUACCACGUAUUACACGAUAGAAAGAGCGGAAAUGUCAUGAGUUGUGAGGAAUAUUUUGUUACAGUUCAUCGUCAGGGCAGCGAUUCAUUAUGUUAAAGCGCGAAUUUUCAAAAGUGAAAAAAACAAAGCAUAUCCAUAUAUACCAUGGAAGUACACAUUGAAUUACACGUUAUCCGUCGAUGAUAUUCUAGUAUCUAAGAUUAUCAACGACUUCUAAAACUUCUGCAAUGCUUCAGGAAAUACCAUAUAUUAUCGUGCUGGAAUAACCAACAAGGUAUAUCCUUUUGAAACAUCGUCCUUUUCUCUGCCUUUCCCGUGGUACCAUGUUCAAUACCGUGUUCGUCAGCUGAUCGAUAUUAAACGGAAAGGGAAAGAAUGAAUACAAAAGUUAUAAUGGCCAUGACGACGAACCUGCUCGAGUCUAAUAUAGUACAGUUUCACGAAGCUACAGAGAGAACAUCCCUUCAAAGGAACCAAAGCUAAGCAGCUUCGUAAGAGGAUAUAAGCGAUUGCGUUCGGAAAAGUUCGUCGAAGAGACAUCAGACGGUGCACGCGAAUCGUGGAUCAAAGUGGAAUUUUUGCUCUAAUGAAGGAACGUUCCUUCGUAUAUAAGAAGAUUACUUCGCGGAAUCUUUAUAGAUUCCAUCUUUUUGAACCCUCAAAAGAAUUCAAUGCAGCCGGGAAAGUAAGAUAAAGAUCAAUUAAAACGUCGACUGUGUUCCUGUUUAUCGAACUAUGUUUAUUUUGAUAGCAAUUAUUUAGGAAAUUAUAUAUACCGUAACUAUAUUUAUUUCAUUGCCAUGAGUGAAAUUGACAACGAUAAGGAAAAACUUGGGGCGAUUAAGAAUGAUUCCGAAAAGGAACAUCUGCGAAUCAAUCUUGAAGAAGAAGAGGAAGAAGGAGGAGAUACAGGAUAUGAAGAUGGCCAAGGUGAGUGUAAAGAUUAUUCGUCCACGCUCGCACACGAUUUAUUAGACGAUAGAUUUUAUCUCGACGACGAUGAUUCCACAGAUAAAUUUAAUUCUAGUCAAAACGAUGUUCGUCUUUCGGAAAUUUUCUAACACGGUGUAUCCUAAGAUCGAAGUUAUACGGAUCGUCGAGACCUAUCGGAGAUAAUAAAAUAAUAAGGAAAAAACAGAAAAUGAUAUCGAGAAUAGAAACGAUUAUGAGAAUGGAAGGUUUAAUCAUGAAUUGCAGGAUAAGCUCAUAAAAGUCGAAAUAAAAUUAAGGUAGAUUUAAAUGAUUAAAUUUUCAAAACGGUUAAACCUGUAGGGACGAUUAAAGGAUUUACCGAUUUGUUCCAUAUUUACGUCACAUUGACAUCGUUAUUCCAUCAAAUUAAAUUAAGUAAUCAUUUGCUUAAAUUAAAAACUGAUGAUAUGUUGAAUCAAUCUUCUAAGGUGCUUGUCAUAAUAUUCUCUUCGUUUGCUUAAAAGAGAUUAAUAAUAUUUAAUUAACGUUUUAGUGUAAUAUUGUAAAUUCAACGAUGUAAUUUGCUAUGUAGUCAGGAUUCUCUCGUUAGUACGUUUUGAUUGGGAUUUGAAGAAAAUCCAUCUGCAUAUUACGAUCCUCCCUACGUAUCAAGUACCUUCGUUUUAAUCGAUUAGGUAUUAUUUCUCUCCAUCCUUGAUUGUCCUUUGGCACGCUUGGAUGGAGCAGUACAGGUGGACGGGAAUGAGUGGCUCGGUCCUGUGAACGUAACACGCGUAUCUGAUUUUGAUAACAUGACAGGUAUUUUUUCAUUUGUCUAUCCCUUAUCAAACGAAUAACAGCAUCAGACAAUUGGAUGAUACGAUUGUAUAACUCAAUUAUCUAUUUAAAUGUAUCCUUUAAUCACUCGGCUACAUCUUUUCAUAGCUAUGGACGCGAUACUGAUUUAAUUAUUCCGUUCAAAGGAGUACAUUUUCCUUGAAAUUAGCUCCCUGUUGAGGAAGUGAAAACAAUGAUCCAAUAAUCCCUCCAGUUAUAUAAUACUUCGUAUAUUAUAUUCCAAACUAAUCAAUUCCUAAGAAAAAAUUUUAUUUGUUAAUUUUUAUUUGAGAAUUGGCUGUUUCUAUUGCGUAUAAACAAGCACA